UCGGGAAUUUUGCGCAAUGGGCGAAAGCCUGACGCAGCAACGCCGCGUGAGGGAUGAAGGCCUUCGGGUUGUAAACCUCUUUUCUACAGGGACGAUGAUGACGGUACCUGAGGAAUAAGCCACGGCUAACUACGUG
rnacentral:rRNA from 1 species